CAAGGCCCCCAAGACGUAGGGGCCCCUCCCAUGUAUGUAUGUAUAUGUAGUAUACUAGGAUAAUGAGAAAACCCUGUAUUAAAUUGGCAAGCCAAGCCCAAGAAGGCAGCAAGGAGGCAAUCACGCAAGGGAUUCCAUCUCUGUUUUGUCAACUCCAUUACUCCCCGCACAAAUCAGUGUUUCGCUCUUAUUUCUCUCCCCAAAUCAACGUCGCCGCUGCAGCUCCCUGCCUCCCUCAAUCCCCUUCCUGAUUGCCUGCUCUUUGUGGCGUCAAUGGUGGAGGAGGCCGCCCCCAAAUGUCAAGAAAUCAGGAUCAGAUCUCCCUCAAAUUCAUCAAUUUUACAACGGUUCUCCGGGAAAUUCUUCCGUAUAGCCGUUGGUAGUCACACACGAGUUCAUCGCAAGAUUGGAGAAAGGAUUUCGGAGUUCAUUUCCGAUCUAGUCACCUAGCCAAUCGCCAACCGAUUCAUCCUUUUCUGAGUUUUGGACAUCUCUUUUUGUUGAGUGUUGACUCGGACGGUCGGACAUGAAGGUUUCGUAGAUGGAUUCUUGGUGCUAUCUCUGUCUCUUCAUGUAAAAUCGAGGUGCUGUCAUUCCUCAGCUAAACUAAUUCUAGUACUAUUUUUAAAAUUUGUGUGGUACUAUGUCAUCUAGAAAGUAUUUAUCUGGUUGCGAAAAAAAGAAAAAAAGAAAAAGGGUAGAUGCGUUGAUUCAAUCUCAAAAAGGAUCGAUCGACAAAUUUUUCAAAUCUAAUGCAUCUUCUUCAAGGAAUUCUGAGGAAUGGGCCUUAGUUUGUGUUCAGGAGCAACCCAACGAAUUUGUAGAGGAGGGCAAUGAUAAUAAUACUGAUGGUAAUAAUUUGAGUGGGCAUGAAAACUUAGAUAGUUCACCUGAUACAGAAACCUUGAAUGUUGAUGAGCAACCAAAAUUUGGCAUUGAUAUUUAUGACCCGAGAUACUGGGAUAGUUUUGAUAAUAAGUCAAGGGAUAUUUUAGUGGAAAAGGGCCCUAUAAGAGAAAAAAAUCUUGAAUUCCCUCCAGAUAAAAUAUCUAGACAUUUUUCAUAUGCUUAUUAUUCUAGAAAGUUAAUAAAUGGUGAGGUUCAUGAUAGAAAAUGGUUGGUUUAUUCAAAACAUGUCAACAAAGUGUAUUGCUUCUGUUGUAAGCUCUUUAGAUCUAUUAACAACAAAAGUUCGUUAGCAACCGAUGGAACGAGAGAUUGGAAGCACCUUAGUGAAAGGCUCAAGGAGCAUGAGAAUAGUGCUGAGCACAUUACUAAUAUGAACAAAUGGAAUGAGUUAAGAAUGAGAUUGAACAAAAAUGAAACCAUUGAUAAAGAGUUACAGCAAAACAUUGCAAAGGAGAAAGAACGUCUACGACAAGUUUUAUUAAGAAUUAUAGCCAUAAUUAAAUAUCUAGCUAAACGAA